rnacentral:rRNA from 1 species
CAGUCGCCGCGGGAACACCAGCACCUCGAGUGGUCAGGAGGUUUAUUGGGCCUAAAGCAUCCGUAGCCGGUUGCAUAAGUUUUCGGUUAAAUCUAUGCGCUUAACGUAUAGGCCGCCGAAAAUACUGUGCAGCUAGGGAGUGGGAGAGGUACACGGUACUCGAUAGGAAGGGGUAAAAUCCUUUGAUCUAUUGAUGACCACCUGUGGCGAAGGCGGUGUACCAGAACACGUUCGACGGUGAGGGAUGAAAGCUGGGGGAGCAAACCGGAUUAGAUACCCGAGUAGUCCCUGUCUCUUAUAC